rnacentral:rRNA from 1 species
CUCGUAGGCGGCUUGUCACGUCUGCUGUGAAAACGCGGGGCUUAACUCCGCGCGUGCAGUGGGUACGGGCAGGCUAGAGUGUGGUAGGGGUGACUGGAAUUCCUGGUGUAGCGGUGGAAUGCGCAGAUAUCGGGAGGAACACCAGUGGCGAAGGCGGCCUACUGGGCACCAACUGACGCUGAGGCUCGAAAGUGUGGGUAGCAAACA